rnacentral:misc_RNA from 1 species
GAUGAAGAACGCAGCGAAAUGCGAUAAGUAAUGUGAAUUGCAGAAUUCAGUGAAUCAUCGAAUCUUUGAACGCACAUUGCGCCCCCCAGUAUUCUGGCGGGCAUGCCUGUUCGAGCGUCAUUUCAACCAUCAAGCCCUGCUUGUGUUGGGGUCCUGCGGCUGCCCGCAGGCCCUGAAAACCAGUGGCGGGCUCGCUAGUCACACCGAGCGCAGUAGCACAUCUCGCUCAGGGCGUGCGGCGGGCUCCAGCCGUUAAAGCACCCACCUUUCGCAAGGUUGACCUCGGAUCAGGUAGGAAUACCCGCUGAACUUAAGCAUAUCAAUAAGCCGAGGA